CCAGUCAUUCAAUGCCUCUCUGCGCUUUGGAAGGCUCCGAUGCCCCUCAAGAUCAAGAUUUUCGUUUGGCAGCUCCUACGUGACCGCCUUCUCUCUGGGACAGAGGUUCUUAAGUGGCACGGCCAGGGCGAUGGUCUCUGCCCCCUAUGUCGAGUCCCAGAAACGGGAACUCACAUUUUGUUCUUUUCUGUCGCGGCCCAAGCGGUCUGGCGCUUUGUUCAUGAGGCCCUUGGGCCAGAGUGGGAAGCCCUAGACCUGGCUAAUUUCCUACAGUUUAGGGCCACCCAGACGGGUCGCAAGCGCCGUCUGUUCUAG
rnacentral:rRNA from 1 species